UACGGAGGGUGCGAGCGUUAUCCGGAAUUACUGGGUUUAAAGGGUGCGUAGGCGGCUUGGUAAGUCAGGAGUGAAAGUUUGCGGCUCAACCGUAAAAUUGCUUUUGAUACUGCCAGGCUGGAAUCAGGAUGAGGUCAGCGGAAUGUGGCAUGUAGCGGUGAAAUGCAUAGAUAUGCCAUAGAACACCAAUUGCGAAGGCAGCUGGCUAGACCUGUAUUGACGCUGAGGCACGAAAGCGUGGGGAGCGAACAGG
rnacentral:rRNA from 1 species